UGUCAUAGAUAUGAAUGAGUAGAUAGGACACGCCCCUUUGAGCUGCGCGCUACAGCGAGGCUAAGCUAGUGGGGGCAAAGUUUCAGUGCAUUCUGUUGAUGUAGACGGCGUGAAAACGGAAACAACAAGUAUGCCGGCUCACUGUGCUGCAUACAAUUACACACUGCGUCGUACGAUUGAGACAAGGAAACUUGGAAUGACUUUUCAUAGGUUUCCCAGAGACUAUGGGUUGAGGAGGAAUUGGAAGUUUGUCGGCUUAGACCUGGUGUCAUUCCAUCAGUGUUAAACUUCCCGGCUCAUCUUGGAAGAGUACGUGCCAGAAAGACCACAACCAAGCAGCCUUGAGAUCUUAGGUAGCGUCUCCCUGAGGUGGGUGUCGACGGUGUUCACGGUCAGUUCAAAGGUCCCUCUCUAUCUCCCCACACAUCCACCAACCACUGGAACACAUCUCCAAAGUUCUGCCGGGCCAGCUCAGCUUCCCCUCAGAAGAAGUGCUGCCACCUGCCAGAUGAAGGAGCCUUUUGAGAGGCAGCUGGCAUCGUGAUUGGACUGUACUUUGGUCUGUUCCAAUCCAGCUUCAGCUCCAGAGACGGCAGGCGGGACGAGUCAACGGAGG
ensembl:lncRNA